UGGCACUGACGGAUUUGGAUUCUGAUGCACGAUUUUCGAGAAAAAGAGUUUUAUUGGAUCUAUGUGUAUAGGUGUGGUUUUUGGAGAUUGGAGAGGGUUGGUUUUGUCGCUAAUCGGCGACCGAAUCGGACAAAACGAAAUGCUAGAUUCGAUGCCCCACUCGUGUUGAACGCACUCGCACGAUCCGAUCGAAAAUCCGACUGACGGAUCUUCGGGAAUCGCGAAAUAUUCGCUGAGGGGUCGAAAUCGGCAAAAUGAAAAAAUCGCAAAAAG
rnacentral:lncRNA from 1 species